rnacentral:rRNA from 1 species
UUCGCAAUGCCCGAAAGGGUAACGAAGCGACGCCGCGUGCGGGAAGAAGGCCUUCGGGUUGUAAACCGCUGUCGGGAGAUAAGAAAUGUAAGGAUGUCAAUAGCAUCUUUGCUUGACUAAGGCUCCGGAGGAAGCCACGGCUAACUCUGUGCCAGCAGCCGCGGUAAUACAGAGGCGGCAAGCGUUGUUCGGAAUUAUUGGGCGUAAAGAGCACGUAGGCGGCUAUGUAAGUCGGUUGUGAAAGCCUUCCGCUCAACGGGAGAACAGCAUCCGAUACUGCAUGGCUUGAGUGCGGGAGGGGAGAGUGGAACUUCUGGUGGAGCGGUGAAAUGCGUAGAUAUCAGAAGGAACGCCGGCGGCGAAAGCGGCUCUCUGGCCCAUAACUGACGCUGAGUGUGCGAAAGCUAGGGGAGCAAACGGGAUUAGAUACCCCGGUAGUCCUAGCUGUAAGCGAUGGGCACUAAGUAGAGGGGUUUU